CCCACACAUCCAGCAGAGCUAUCCUGGCAGGCCUCAGCCAGCCCCUAGUGAGAAAAUUGCAGGGUUGGAAUCAGCAUUUUUUCCCCUUAAACAUUUUAUGGUUUUGAGAAGCUGAACUUGCAAAGAAUAUACAGCGGGAAAGUGAAAAAAGACCCAAUUUUAGAACCACAUGUGGGGCCACAGGAAAACGUUAGAAAUAUCUUCUGGUAUACCACUGUGCACCCACACAGUGACACUUCUGCAUACACACAGUCACACAUGCCAAUGCGCAUGUUCAUACAGCCACACAUACAAAUGUGCAUGCAUAGUCACACUCCCACACAGUCACACACAUGCCAGGGCACAUACACACUCACACAUACAAAUGUGCAUACAUAGUCACACACACCAGUACACAUACACACUCACACAUACAAGUGUGCAUGCAUAGUCACACU
rnacentral:lncRNA from 1 species